UGCUCCGUGGGUUAGUCGGCUAAAGCACCUGUCUCUUGUAGACAGGAGAUUCUGGGUUUGAAUCCCAGCGGGGCCU
rnacentral:tRNA from 1 species